CCAACAAACUUACUUUUUCUAAUGUUUCGAUGCGCUGUUUCAAAAGUCUGUUUUCAGUUCGUAACCUCUGCAAGGCAACCAAGGGAACAAGUCAGAAUU